rnacentral:lncRNA from 1 species
UCUCGAACUCCUGACCUCAGGUGAUCUGCCCACCUCGGCCUCCCAAAGUGCUGGGAUUACAGGUGUGAGCUACCGUGCUUGGCCGCUUGUCUGUAAAUUAAUCAGGGUAUGGUACAAUAGUAGUAGCAAACACAAGGAAGUCAGACAAGAACUUUGAGGUCACCAUAGAAACAUAAGCAACAGAGAUCGAAGGAACAAUAGAUUGGGAGAAAAGUAACAAGGAAAGUUAAGGGACAAAGGAGGAUAUAGUCUUCAAGGUAGAUUAAGAACAGAAAGGUUUCUAAAUGCCAGACUUUUCCUUGAGGCAUUAUACUGAUCCAUUGAAGACUAAGCAGGUUUUUAUUUCUCCAUAUUCUGAAGCUUAUAACUGCACUUUGAUUACUUAUUCCCUCUGAAAAGAAACUUCUUAUAGCCUACAGGACAUCUGUGGCAUCAAAUCCAAGUCUUAAUAUUUAAAUAUAUUUUUUUCUAUUUUAUUCCUUUGUCUUUCCAAUACAUAACUUUUCAGCAGGGUUAAUGUUUGUGUUAUCCUAGUGGAUCUCCUGGCCUCUACCAUCUGAACCAAGAAUUAACUGCCUAAUAGGGACAGUUGGAGCUCUUUUCCUGCACAAUAACCAAAGCAUACCAAGACGCGAUCAACUUCUUAUGGGAUCAGUUACACUUAAAAGAAAAAAAAAGUGGAAUAAUAGAUAAGAAAUAUAAUAAAAUAUUGAUAGGGUUGAUGCUCUUAUGGGUACAUGAGGGUUUCACUGUAUUAGUCUCUGCUUUUACCUGUAUUUUGUAGUUUACAUUAAUAAAAAGCUUUUUAAAACUGAAAAAAUACAGUAGUAAAAACAUCAAAAUAAUUAUAUUUUUAUGAUAAAAAAGCCACUUAAUCACUUCCAAGCAUUUUAUCACUAUUAGAAGGGAAUAUAAUCUAAUUGCUAAAAUUGUCAUAUAUUUCAGUUAUCUCAUCAUCCUCAGAAAGCAAAUUCAGCAAGUAAGUAGAUGCUAGUGAUGCAUCUGUAACAACAAAGAAAGAUGUGGUAGAGGGGGAAGGAGCACUGAAUUCAUGAAAACAAGUUCCUUGGAGGAUUGAUAAAGGAAGAUGAUAGUAUUUCUACUCUGUCAGGAAUCCCAUAACCCCAGCCUAAUAUGAGAAAAACACCAGACAAAUUCCAUUUGAAGGAUAUUCUACAGAAUAUCUAACCAGCACUCUUCAAAACUGCCAAGGUCAUGAAAAACAAGAAAGAAAAGAAACACAGAUGUGAUGAAUGAAGAAAAAUACCAGUUGAGUCACCUAACCAGUACUGAAAAAGUUAAGUUUCAAAAUACGGAAUCACAGGAAGAUGAAAAGGUUCUGAAGCAUUUACAAUUUUAUAAGCUUUCUUCGGGGUAAAACUUAUGUUUAAAACUUGCCAUGCAGGAUGUCUUGCAGCCCCACCACAAAGAAGAUUCAGUGGAGCUGAACAAGCUCACUACCAAGCCACUGAAAAGAGGAAAGAAAGUCCAUCUGAGAUCAAAGGUCGCACUUCCCAUUUUUUUCAAGUUCUGCAAAGGUGAUCUGUUUCCCUUUAGUGCACAGGAAAUAAGUGAGAUGUUCUCUAAAAGCCUUUACCUGUUUCACCUUAUACUGUAAUCACUAAAUCCAGAAGACUAACGCAAACUCAUACUUAAAAAGAAAACAAUUAGCCUAGAGCACGUAAUAGAAAUCAGAAGCAUUUGA